ACUAUAUUAGUAUAUAUUUACAUAACACUUCUGUAGGUCUUAAAGACAUAUCCUAUACUUAUAGAUUUGACUCGAGCCUGAAAUAACCUUGUGUGGUAAAGUUUCGCUUUGAUUCGAUGAUCCAUUUUAUUAAACUUUCUACUGAUUUGUUCAGUGAGUUCUAUCUCCUUUGGAUUGAGUAGGGUUUUUGGUUGACACAUGUUGACAAAUUCAGGGACUGCAAUACCACGCUUGAAAUAAAGGAUCAACAGCCAAGGAACCAAAUUUUACAAAAGAAAGUUCUUGGCGUGGAAGAUUUCAUGUGCAUGUUAAACGAACCGUACGACCUGUCUAUGCUACGGUUUUGCAGCAUAAGAAACCAACCUCAAGUGCUGCAGAUGAUAUAACAGGUGGAUCAAGAUUGACUUCUCAGACUGUUCUGAGGCAAGAAGUACCAACUGCAACCUCCAAAAGUUACACCUUCAAAACAAGUAUGGUCAUUUAGUUUUCAUUUUUUUGUUUUGUCGCUUUUGUUUUACAUUAUAAAAACACUUAACCAACACAUGUGUCACUCGGUAUAUCAAAAAUUUGAUUUCUAAAGUAGGAGAAGCCAGUCCCAACAUGUUGAUUAUAGAUUAUAUUUGACACGUGAAAAGAAGUAAUGCUUCUUAACUUGAAAAUGAAAAAUAUUUAGUUGAGCAUCAUGAUUCAUGAAUAUGAAUUCAGCUCAUUGUUACAUUAGUCCAAGUUCAUGAAUAUGUAACAGAUUCAAGGAAGGGAUACUUCUAUCGUUGGCCUUAACCGUGAAAGAAAGCAAACAUGAUUUUUCCCAAGUCAAAAAGUCACUGAAUAUGAGUUAAAAAUGGAAGAUUUUAUACUUACCAUUUUCAUAAACAAUACCAGAUAAAACAAAGCAGCGAGGUCCUCCGUUUAGUCAUAUACAAGAGGGACUUCUUUUGAUUUGCUCUCGAUUUAUUUUAGUAGAACAAUUAAUCUUCCUCUACCUCACCAACACAUGUGUACCUGAUAUAGUUUAAAAUAAUCUGACAACUACAAUAAUAGUAGAAAUCAAACUAGAUAAUCAAAAUAAAAUAAACAUAUCAAAAUAUUCACACUCCCAAAAUAAAGACAGUCCAUAAGAAUUCAACAUUAUAUUAUGAAAUUUAGUUAACUGCAACGAAAUUAAGGUUGAAUAUCAUAAUAUGAAACAAUUUUAACAGUAAAAACUGAUGAAUAUAAUAACACAAAUCAAAGAAAUAACAAUUAGAAAUAAUAUAUAGUAAAAAAUUCAUAAUAAACAUAAUUGUUUUUAAAAUAACUAAUGUUUCAUAGUGUUUUGUAAUUUGAAAAAUUAUGUGUCUUAGACAUGUUAGUAAUUUCUAAAAUGAAUUUUAAAAUAUAUAGAUAAAAUUGUUGUAAAAUAAUUAUAUACUUCAAUGGUAUUUUUAGGUAAAAGUAAAUUUAGAAUUUAAAAUAAAUUUGUAUUAUUAUUUUAUUUAUUCGCCCCGCCCGUAGGGCGGGUUUAUCCUAGUACUAUUAAUAGAUGAGAAAUUAGGUCUCAUAUACACCAAAAAAACCAUAUUUAAGUAAAUACUCUAAACACUAUUGACAUUUCUAAACCCCUAUAUUGCCCCUGCCCCUACCCAAACUUCUUCCUUCUUCUUCCUUCUCCUUCUCGAAUUUCCCUUAAAUCUCUCACCAAACUUAUUCAUUUUUUUCUUCAUCUUUCCUAGUUCUUUACUCUUCUUUAAAAAUAUUUCAGUAUUUCUUACAAAUGGAUUCUUCUUCUUUUUUCCUAUUUUCACCAUUGUGGAUCCAAUAAAUAGUUUUUUCAUCGAUGAGUUCUUUUAGAAUAAUUUUUUUUGUCAGUUUCUUCGAUGUUUACCACAAUUUUGAAGGUUCCAAGUGAGUCAGUGCAUACCAGAGAGAUCUCUUCAGUGCAUGUGUUGGUAGAAUCACAUGGUACAACCUGAAAUUCUCAUUUAAAUUCUGAGUACUUUAAUCGCUAUAUAACAUAUUUGGUUAUUGUUUGGUUAAGCCUUGUGAGCAGAUACAUGUUUGGAUAAUUGUUACCAACCAGUGGUGCCGUAUAAUUUAAAUUGUUUGGUAAAUAUGUGUGGUUUGAUAUAUGAUAUAUAAAUUUGUACAUAAUAUAUUUUCAUUAGCUGA